CCUACGGGGGGCAGCAGUGGGGAAUCUUCCGCAAUGGGCGAAAGCCUGACGGAGCAACGCCGCGUGAUCGAAUGAAGGCCUUCGGGUUGUAAAGCUCUGUUGACAGGGACGAAUAAGCAAUGCAAAUAGUUUUGUGUAUGACGGUACCUGUUUAGAAAGCUCCGGCUAACUACGUGCCAGCAGCCGCGGUAAUACGUAGGGAGCAAGCGUUGUCCGGAAUUACUGGGCGUAAAGGGCGCGUAGGUGGGCGCUUAAGUCAGGUGUGAAAACUCCGGGCUCAACCUGGAGACUGCACUUGAAACUGGGUGUCUUGAGGGCAGGAGAGGAAAGUGGAAUUCCUAGUGUAGCGGUGAAAUGCGUAGAUAUUAGGAGGAACACCGGUGGCGAAGGCGGCUUACCAAUCUAUAUCUGACGUUGAGGCACGAAAGCGUGGGGAGCAAACAGGAUUAGAUACCCUAGUAGUC
rnacentral:rRNA from 1 species